ensembl:processed_transcript 4930406D18Rik RIKEN cDNA 4930406D18 gene
ACAAUGGGGAGGGGUCGCCAGCAGACUGUACACAGACUUUUGUGGCUACACUUUUCUAAAGAGAUGAUACUGUUUUCCAAAGACCUUACUUAGUGUGCGCUCCAGGGUCCCUAGGUUAUUAAGACACACAUCCCUGGAGUUGAAGGAACGGAGGACAGAGACCUCCUCUCACACAUUUGAAAACUGGACGUGUAAAGAAGGCUCACACUGAAUUCUACAAGGCUUCCCAGGAAAAGAAGAAACUGGAACCCAUAGGACUCUACUUUGUUCUCCCAGAAGCAGCUAGCACUGGAAGCAAGAGAGAAACCAGUAUCCAUGCAGAGCAAGCUCGACCUACAAGCUUCAAGGGACAAGGAAGGGGUUUCCAGUGGCCAUGAUGACCCAUGACUGACCAGGGACAGGCUCUUAUCUGGAUGUCCUAAAGACCAUUCCUCUGAUGGAGAGAAGGAAUAGAAAUGCUGUCUGGCUCAAGGUAGAAAAAGAAAUGUAAAAGCCACAAAGUACCUUCAUCUUUUUAAAUGAUGAAAGACUCCAGGCUGCUCAGCUGUGAAAAUAUAGUAGCUGAGCAACCACUUUUAUCAUAUACAUAUAUGAUAUAUA